GACGAACGCUGGCGGCGUGCUUAACACAUGCAAGUCGAACGGCAAGGCCCUGCUUUUGUGGGGUGCUCGAGUGGCGAACGGGUGAGUAACACGUGAGUAACCUGCCCUUGACUUUGGGAUAACUUCAGGAAACUGGGGCUAAUACCGGAUAGGAGCUCCUGCUGCAUGGUGGGGGUUGGAAAGUUUCGGCGGUUGGGGAUGGACUCGCGGCUUAUCAGCUUGUUGGUGGGGUAGUGGCUUACCAAGGCUUUGACGGGUAGCCGGCCUGAGAGGGUGACCGGCCACAUGGGGACUGCGAUACGGACCAGACUCCUACGGGAGGCAGCAGUGGGGAAUAUUGCCCAAUGGGCGGAAGCCUGAUGCAGCAACGCCGCGGGCGGGAUGACGGCCUGCGGGUUGUAAACCGCUUUCGCCUGUGACGAAGCGUGAGUGACGGUAAUGGGUAAAGAAGCACCGGCUAACUACGUG
rnacentral:rRNA from 1 species